rnacentral:rRNA from 1 species
GUGCCAGCCACCGCGGUUAUACAAAUAAUACAAGUAAUUUGAAUUUAUAAUAGUUAAGUUGAAUAUUUUAAUUAAGAAUUAAUUUUUUAGGUGAAAUUUUAAAUUGAUUUAUAUUAGUUAUUAAAUUAACUGAUUCUAGUAAAUUUAAAUUAUAGACUAGGAUUAGAUACCCUAUUAUUUUUAAUUAAUGUGUAAAAAUAUAAAGGUAGUAAUUGUUAAUUUCUUGAAACUUAAAAAAUUUGGCGGUAUUUUAGUCUUUUUAGAGGAACCUGUUCUGUAAUCGAUAGUCCACGUUAAAUUUUACUUAAAUUUGUCUAGUUUGUAUACCGCCGUUAUUAAAUAUUUUAUAAGAAUGUAAAUUUUUAAUUAUUUUUAUUAAAAAGUAUAUCAGGUCAAGGUGCAGCUUAUGUUUAAGUAGUAAUGGGUUACAAUAAAUUUAUUUAUAUGGAUUUUAGCUAUAAAUAGCUUUAUGAAGGAGGAUUUAAAAGUAAAAUUAUAAAUCAAAUUAAUUUGAUUUUAGCUCUAAGAUAUGUACACAUCGCCCGUCGCUCUUAUUUUUAAAGUAAGAUAAGUCGUAACAUAGUAGAUGUACUGGAAAGUGUAUCUAGAAA